rnacentral:lncRNA from 1 species
CAAUAAAAACAAGAACUAUCUUUAAAAAAGAUAUCCGACGUAUUUAAAUUUGAGUAUAUGUUUAAAACUAUCAUUUCGAUAACCUUAAGAAGCACAAAGAUACCAUUUAAAUAACGUUUUCUCUGUUUGUGUUCAGUUUUCUCGGUCCUCGUAUCUUUCUGUUUACAUUCACCAAAACCCCGCGGAAAUCUCACAUGCGUAGGUGCGUUCUAAAAGUCAUGUACGUUCGUACAACA